UACGUAGAUGGCAAGCGUUGUCCGGAAUUAUUGGGCGUAAAGCGCGCGCAGGUGUUUCCUUAAGUCUGAUGUGAAAGCCCACGGCUCAACCGUGGAGGGUCAUUGGAAACUGGGGAACUUGAGUGCAGAAGAGGAUAGUGGAAUUCCAAGUGUAGCGGUGAAAUGCGUAGAGAUUUGGAGGAACACCAGUGGCGAAGGCGACUAUCUGGUCUGUAACUGACACUGAGGCGCGAAAGCGUGGGGAGCAAACAGG
rnacentral:rRNA from 1 species